AUGUUGGGCGAUGGACCAGCAGGUUUUCGCUCCUCUGCCAACGCGGUCUACAGGGGGCGCGGGCAGUUCCGUGCCAGAGGAGGCCGUGGGCAAAGCAACAGAGCAGGGCGCGGUCGAGGGAACCGCUCCUCUCCUUCCCCUGCUCGCGGCGGUGGUGGCGGCGGCCAUCAGCAGCGACCUCGCCCCCAACCACAGCAACAACAACAAGAAGGAGACUACCCGGAGUGCCAGAUCUGCUACAAGUUCCAUGUUGGUGGGGCAAGAGCCUGCUGGCAUCGGUACGAUGAGGAUCAUGAAGAGAAGAAAGCAGCCAACCUCAUCACCAACAGCUACGGCAUUGAUACCAAUUGGUAUGCAGAUUCCGGCGCCACUGAGCACAUCAACGGGGAACUCGACAAGCUGACGAUGCGGGAAAGGUACCACGGCAGUGAUCAGAUACACACGGCAAGUGGAACUGGACAUGGCAACGAGGAGAGUCAUCCUUAG
rnacentral:rRNA from 1 species